rnacentral:lncRNA from 1 species
GUCUGUAGGCGGCUGUGUAAUUUCUUUCUAAGAUUUUAAAUGGCUCAAUAAACUGGGGGAAUUUAGUUUCUCCCUCUUACCAAACCUUCUGAUUCUCUUAAAAUGAGUGACUCUCAGCAAUACUCGAUCAUCUUUCUCAAAUUCCAAAUCCCUCAUUCAGAUAUUUGCGUAACUCUUCUGCCUGCUAUAAGUUAUCUAGAUGUUAU